UCUAUUUCAAUUUAAGUGACAGUAAUAUAUACACAUUCAGCCAUCAAAAGGGACUCAUAGUAAAGGGAAAAGGUCACGGGAUAUCUAUGCAGCUAAUACACCUAAGUGUGAGUCUGCAGUUCAAGCAUUUGCAGGUCCAAGCAUCCCAAAAUCUCUCUCCCAGCCAUACCUGCAUAUCAAUGAGAAAGUCAAUGAAGAAAAAGCAAAGGAAGAAGGAGCAGAAGAUAACAAACAACUUACCUGGCCAUGCAAACUGACUCAGGGAUCUAGACCCUUCGAUUCAGCACCAAAAAGCAAGCAACUUCCCAUUCACUAGAGAACUCAGCUGAUUUCAAUCAAACAAGGAAGAAAUCAGUAUAAAAAAAGGAGAAAUAUAGUUUCGCAGGAGCUUAAGCAAUCAACAAGAUCGAAUGAAAGUACUUCUGAGAGCUGUAAAACAAAGAAAAGGAGUAAAUCCAAGGCAAAGUGUUGAUAACCCAAAGCAACAGCAGCAAAAAUUGAAGAUUCAAGCAUGGAGUCGACAUCAUUUUUCACCUGAGACUGAGCUUAAACAAUGGAAAUAGAAGCCUUUUGAUUUAGGAAACCCUAAGCACAAAUAUAUAUGUCUGAAGGGUUCGAGUUUGGGCUAAUUGGUUGGACCUGAAAUAAGCCCAAUUUUCUUUCUUUAUUUUUUCGGUUGGUUUGGCCCAUCCAAUGUAGAAAC
rnacentral:lncRNA from 1 species